GCCGGCAUAGCUCAGUGGUAGAGCACCCGCCUUGUAAGCGGGCGGUCGUGGGUUCAAGUCCGACUGCCGGCU
rnacentral:tRNA from 2 species